CGACCCCAGGUCAGGCGGGAUCACCCGCUGAGUUUAAGCAUAUCAAUAAGCGGAGGAGAAGAAACUUACAAGGAUUCCCCUAGUAACGGCGAGCGAACCGGGAUCAGCCCAGCUUGAGAAUCGAACGGCAUUGUCGUUCGAAUUGUAGUCUGUAGAAGCGUCCUCAGUGACGGACCGGGCCCAAGUCCCCUGGAAGGGGGCGCCAGAGAGGGUGAGAG
rnacentral:rRNA from 1 species